UGAGGAAUAUUGGUCAAUGGGCGAGAGCCUGAACCAGCCAAGUAGCGUGCAGGAUGACGGCCCUAUGGGUUGUAAACUGCUUUUAUGGGGGGAUAAAGUGCGUGACGUGUCAUGCAUUGCAGGUACCACAUGAAUAAGGACCGGCUAAUUCCGUGCCAGCAGCCGCGGUAAUACGGAAGGUCCGGGCGUUAUCCGGAUUUAUUGGGUUUAAAGGGAGCGUAGGCUGUCUAUUAAGCGUGUUGUGAAAUAUACCGGCUCAACCGGUGGAUUGCAGCGCGAACUGGUCGACUAGAGUGUGCAGGAAGUAGGCGGAAUUCAUGGUGUAGCGGUGAAAUGCUUAGAUAUCAUGACGAACUCCGAUUGCGCAGGCAGCUUCCUGUAGCAUAACUGACGCUGAUGCUCGAAAGUGCGGGUAUCAAACAGG
rnacentral:rRNA from 1 species